rnacentral:rRNA from 1 species
UACGUAGGGGGCAAGCGUUAUCCGGAAUUAUUGGGCGUAAAGAGCUCGUAGGCGGUUUGUCGCGUCUGCUGUGAAAACCCGAGGCUCAACCUCGGGCCUGCAGUGGGUACGGGCAGACUAGAGUGCGGUAGGGGGAGAUUGGAAUUCCUGGUGUAGCGGUGGAAUGCGCAGAUAUCAGGAGGAACACCAAUGGCGAAGGCAGAUCUCUGGGCCGUAACUGACGCUGAGGAGCGAAAGCAUGGGGAGCGAACAGG